AGACGCUGCCGCCGAGGAAAUUCUUGUAGUACUAGCCAUGGUCAACCCUACCGUGUUCUUCGACAUUGCCGUCGACGGCGAGCCCUUGGGCCGCGUCUCCUUCGAGCUGUUUGCAGACAAGGUUCCAAAGACAGCAGAAAAUUUUCGUGCUCUGAGCACUGGAGAGAAAGGAUUUGGUUAUAAGGGUUCCUGCUUUCACAGAAUUAUUCCAGGGUUUAUGUGUCAGGGUGGUGACUUCACACGCCAUAAUGGCACUGGUGGCAAGUCCAUCUAUGGGGAGAAAUUUGAAGAUGAGAACUUCAUCCUAAAGCAUACAGGUCCUGGCAUCUUGUCCAUGGCAAAUGCUGGACCCAACACAAAUGGUUCCCAGUUUUUCAUCUGCACUGCCAAGACUGAGUGUUUGGAUGGCAAGCAUGUGGUCUUUGGCAAAGUGAAAGAAGGCAUGAAUAUUGUGGAGGCCAUGGAGCGCUUUGGGUCCAGGAAUGGCAAGACCAGCAAGAAGAUCACCAUUGCUGACUGUGGACAACUCGAAUAA